rfam:Schistosoma haematobium scaffold2039_2, whole genome shotgun sequence.
AUCCGGCUGACGAGUCCCAAAUACAGCAAAACGUGCGUCCUGGAU